rnacentral:lncRNA from 1 species
UUCUGAGAGUUUAGAUCUCUUCUAUUUGCUUUCAUAGAAGACUGACUUAAGUAUCAGAGGGUCCACCACCGAAGAACCCCGAGUAUGAGGACUUUUUUGUGUUUAGUGGUGUUGUAAGAUUCGGCACGAGGAAUUGACCGUGGAUCCAGAGCUAGCAUCCGAUCUAGAGAUCUCAAUCAGCCAUCCUGUGACCAUCUCUCUCUUUCUCCAUCUCGACUCCAGUUUAUCGGCCUAAGCCAAAUCGACUCGACAAUAGUAACGUUCUCCUUAUUGACAUGUAGAAAUUGAUAAUUCCUAAGAGAAAAAUAUAAUUGUAAUUAAUAACAUGGGAAAUGUGGUUAUCAAAGAGUUACUUGAAUUUCUAUUUUCACCUUCUUUUAUUUCUCCUGUUGCGAUCAAGAGGUCGAAUGACUCGCAUGGAUCAGAUGGUUAGAUCCCUACACUCACACGUAUAAGGUAUUGUCAGUUUUAGCCUAAAUCCGUAGCUCAAAAGCUGUAUGGGCCAUUUUGGGUCUCACAAUUUUAUCUUUUAAAAGAUACCUCGCAGGGGAAGAGAUGGUUUUGAUCCCAUAUAAACCAUACUCCCUCUUGACUCACAACCAAUGUAAAAUUAAAGAUACCCUCUCUACACCACAACAUAGCCUCUAGUCAAGAGGGAGUAUGUAUCAGCAGG